CUCUCUGUGUAUACACCCAUUUUUUAGCCCAGAACAAUAGCUGAGGCAAUGCAUUUUAGUAUGUGAAAGAUGAAAACCCCAGCUGGAAGUGUAAUAAAACACAAAUGACAUGCACAGGGUGGGGGAAAAAUUAUCUGAAAUUUCACUGAACUUUCUAGGGGGAUGUCAGUCAGGGACAUAUGCAAGCAGUGAACCACAAAGUCAGAAGCACGACAUGAGCAGGAAAAGGAACUCUGGGCAGAGUUCCUUCAGAGCGUGACAUUUAUGAUUCAUCUGACUAUAAAUUUGUGUCCAUCUGAAGACAAGACUUUUUUUUUUGCUUUGUUUNNNNNNNNNNNNNNNNNNNNUUCCUGUGGAAAUUUCUCACAUAAGUCUUUUUGGCUUCCAGCAAACAAAGAGUAAGUUUUUGACUUACACUUUUUGGAAGAUAGUUUCCUGAUAAACACAGAUGUUUUCCAGGAGGACAGCUGACUUCUAAAAUAAAUUCAAUGCAGUUAAGCUGUUCACUGAAAAAGUGACAAACAAUUAUGUGAAUUCUGUUUACUGCUAAGGAGUGCUGUUAGGGCUCUAGAAACAGCAGGCAAUGAAAAAUUCCAUCUUCCAAUGUUGUUUUCCUCUUUUGUUUUCAUUCUUCCUCUUACCUAAAUGUCAUCAGUCAAGCUAAAACAUCUUUGUAAGGGUUUGAUUGAUAACGAGAGAAGAUGUACAGAGAACAAAGGUUAACACUGUACUGACUGUAGAGUGAUAAAUCAAAGCAUGAGGUCAUGCCAAGUCUGAUUUCCCCUCUUGUCCUGCAACCUUAUGUGUGGCUCAAGCUUCAUCUAUUUUUUCUUCUGUGGUGUUUUUUUUCUUAUCUUUCUCUUUUCUAUUGUCUUUUUCUUCCCUCAGGUCAGGUGGAAAGAGAUGGAGAUAAGGCUACCCAAGAGAGGGAAGGCAGGGACCAGGAAUGGCUGUGCAAUCAUUGCUGCAAUUCAAAAAGUCAUCACAUUAAUGGCAGGACUCUCAAACCAGAAACUCACCAGUGAAGACACAGCAGGAAGGUGGAAAUACAGUUCUUCUCCAGAAGUUGAGCCAAGUUGA
rnacentral:lncRNA from 14 species